UACGAAGGGGGGCUAGCGUUGUUCGGAAUUACUGGGCGUAAAGCGCACGUAGGCGGAAUGUUAAGUCAGGGGUGAAAUCCCGGGGCUCAACCCCGGAACUGCCUUUGAUACUGGCAUUCUCGAGUCCGGAAGAGGUGAGUGGAAUUCCGAGUGUAGAGGUGAAAUUCGUAGAUAUUCGGAGGAACACCAGUGGCGAAGGCGGCUCACUGGUCCGGUACUGACGCUGAGGUGCGAAAGCGUGGGGAGCAAACAGG
rnacentral:rRNA from 1 species